rnacentral:rRNA from 1 species
UACGAAGGGGGCUAGCGUUGUUCGGAAUUACUGGGCGUAAAGGGCGCGUAGGCGGUACUUCAAGUCAGGCGUGAAAGCCCCGGGCUCAACCUGGGAACCGCGCUUGAGACUGGAGAACUAGAGUUCGGGAGAGGAUGGUGGAAUUCCCAGUGUAGAGGUGAAAUUCGUAGAUAUUAGGAAGAACACCAGUGGCGAAGGCGGCUCACUGGUCCGGUACUGACGCUGAGGUGCGAAAGCGUGGGGAGCAAACAGG